CCUACGGGUGGCAGCAGUGAGGAAUAUUGGUCAAUGGGCGAGAGCCUGAACCAGCCAAGUCGCGUGAGGGAAGACGGUCCUAUGGAUUGUAAACCUCUUUUGUCGGGGAGCAAAAAGCGGUACGUGUACCGCGUUGAGUGUACCCGGAGAAAAAGCAUCGGCUAACUCCGUGCCAGCAGCCGCGGUAAUACGGAGGAUGCGAGCGUUAUCCGGAUUUAUUGGGUUUAAAGGGUGCGCAGGCGGCGAGUUAAGUCAGCGGUAAAAUUUCGGGGCUCAACCCCGACGAGCCGUUGAAACUGGCGUGCUAGAGUGGGCGAGAAGUAUGCGGAAUGCGUGGUGUAGCGGUGAAAUGCAUAGAUAUCGCGCAGAACUCCGAUUGCGAAGGCAGCAUGCCGGCGCCCAACUGACGCUGAGGCACGAAAGCGUGGGUAUCGAACAGGAUUAGAUACCCUUGUAGUC
rnacentral:rRNA from 1 species